rnacentral:rRNA from 1 species
AUUGAACGCUGGCGGCAGGCCUAACACAUGCAAGUCGAACGGUAGCACAGGAGAGCUUGCUCUCUGGGUGACGAGUGGCGGACGGGUGAGUAAUGCAUGGGGAGCUGCCCAAUCGAGGGGGAUACCAGCUGGAAACGGCUGCUAAUACCGCAUACGCCCUGAGGGGGAAAGGUGGGGACCUUCGGGCCUACCGCGAUUGGAUGCACCCAUGUGGGAUUAGCUAGUUGGUGAGGUAACGGCUCACCAAGGCGACGAUCUCUAGCUGGUCUGAGAGGAUGACCAGCCACACUGGAACUGAGACACGGUCCAGACUCCUACGGGAGGCAGCAGUGGGGAAUAUUGCACAAUGGGGGAAACCCUGAUGCAGCCAUGCCGCGUGUGUGAAGAAGGCCUC